rnacentral:rRNA from 1 species
GAUGAACGCUGGCGGCGUGGAUAAGGCAUGCAAGUCGAACGUCUGUAUUUAUACAGAAGUGGCGAACGAGGUAGUAACACGUAGAUAUCUACCCUUUAGUCAGGAAUAACUAUGGGAAACCAUAGCUAAUACUUGAUAGUCCCUCAGGGGUAAAGCGAUUUAGCGCUAAAGGAAGAGUCUGCGGAGUAUCAGCUAGUUGGUAAGGUAAAGGCUUACCAAGGCUAUGACGCUUAGGGGAGGUGAGAGCCUGGCCCCCACCGAUGGUACUGAGACACGGACCAUACACCUACGGGUGGCCGCAGUCGAGAAUCUUCCGCAAUGGACGAAAGUCUGACGGAGCGACGCCGCGUGAUUGAUGAAGCACUUAGGUGUGUAAAAAUCUUUUCUAGAGGAGGAAGUUUAUUGACGUUACUCUAGGAAUAAGGGGUUGCUAAACUCG